UACGUAGGGUGCAAGCGUUCAUCGGAAUUACUGGGCGUAAAGCGUGCGCAGGCGGCUUUGCAAGACAGAUGUGAAAUCCCCGGGCUUAACCUGGGAACUGCAUUUGUGACUGCAUCGCUCGAGUACGGCAGAGGGGGAUGGAAUUCCGCGUGUAGCAGUGAAAUGCGUAGAUAUGCGGAGGAACACCGAUGGCGAAGGCAAUCCCCUGGGCCUGUACUGACGCUCAUGCACGAAAGCGUGGGGAGCAAACAGG
rnacentral:rRNA from 1 species